UACGUAGGGGGCAAGCGUUGUCCGGAAUUAUUGGGCGUAAAGAGCGUGUAGGCGGUUUGAUCAGUCUGCUGUGAAAGUCCAGGGCUCAACCCUGGAAAGCCGGUGGAUACUGUCAGGCUAGAGUGCGGAAGAGGCGAGUGGAAUUCCUGGUGUAGCGGUGAAAUGCGCAGAUAUCAGGAGGAACACCAAUUGCGAAGGCAGCUCGCUGGGACGUUACUGACGCUGAGACGCGAAAGCGUGGGGAGCAAACAGG
rnacentral:rRNA from 1 species